AUUGCCAGCGAGCAUCAGAGGAGAGGGGAUCUAAAGGAAGUCCUGUGUUUGUGUGAAAGAGAGAGAGAGAAAUAGAGGGAGAGAAAUAGAGGGAGAGAAAUAGAGGGAGAGAAAUAGAGAGAGAGAAAAUAGAAGGAGAGAAAUAGAGAGAGAGAAAUAGAGAGAGAGAAAUAGAGAGAGAGAAAAUAGAAGGAGAGAAAUAGAGAGAGAGAAAUAGAGAGAGAGAAAUAGAGAGAGAGAAAAUAGAAGGAGAGAAAUAGAGAGAGAGAAAUAGAGAGAGCAAGAGAGAGAGAGAAAAUAGAGAGAGAGGUUAGAGACAGAGAGAGAGGGGAAGGAAACCCCACAUAAAGAGACAGAAGAGAGCCCUUCCUGGAACUCUCCAGUCCUCUCUGACUGCCGCCGCUCACUGAGGGAGAAAGACAGCAGUGUUUUAAAGAGGAACAGAGUACCUGGUUGUCAUUCUGCUGAGGGCUGAGACAAACAGAGGAGAAGAAGACAUGUCGGGUCAUUUACUAAGGAGAAACUCCAGCAAGGAAGGUCUGCAGAACCUGCUCAGGUACGAGACGUGGAGCUUUGAUACUCCUUCUGCCAGGUGUUGGUGUGUGUUAGUCCUUCUGCCAGGUGUUGGUGUGUGUUAGUCCUUCUGCCAGGUGUUGGUGUGUGUUAGUCCUUCUGCCAGGUGUUGGUGUGUGUUAGUCCUUCUGCCAGGUGUUGGUGUGUGUUAGUCCUUCUGCCAGGUGUUGGUGUGUGUUAGUCCUUCUGCCAGGUGUUGGUGUGUGUUAGUCCUUCUGCCAGGUGUUGGUGUGUGUUAGUCCUUCUGCCAGGUGUUGGUGUGUGUUAGUCCUUCUGCCAGGUGUCGGUGUGUGUUAGUUGGUGUUUCUGCCAGGUGUUGGUGUGUGUGUUAGUUGGUCCUUCUGCCAGGUGUUGGUGUGUGUUACUGGGAGGUGAAACCUUCAUAUGUGAUGUCUGUUACUGGGAGGUGAAACCUUCAUAUCACCACCCUCUGUAUCUCCAUUCUGUGGUUCUGUGGAAAGUGGUUCAACGUUGAUAUGGUAGAAAAAGUAGCACAUUCCUACUGCUCACUAAUGU